CUCUCGCGAAGUUCAAGGUCAUAGUGAUCACCUUGCUGUAUUACGAAAUAGAAAACAGAGAAUUUAACGUAUUUCUUGGAUUUUAAUUGACAUAUUCAACAUGGAGGAAUCCGAAGAAAAGAACAAUUCGAAGUCUGUAUUGUUUUAUAAAAGAAAUCUGUCCGAAGUACCCUGUUUUCGUAAAUCUUUUAUGACGGGUAUAAUGAGUGGUAUUGGACUUGGUUUAGGCCAUUUUAUGGCCACUAGUAAACCUCAAACAUCAUAUCAUGUUGCAUUUGGAUCAUUUACACUGAUUACUCUUGGAGUGUGGUUUAAUUGUCGCUAUCACUGGUCUGUGGAAAGAAUUCGUGAACGACAAUUUAAAGAUGCUUUAAGAAUAAAAGAAUACGAAGAGGGAUCAGAAAGUGUGAAGGUACCAUUACCUGAACAUAAAGAUCUAAAAGAGGUGUAAAUAAAACAAUUCUACCUGUGUACGGUUUUCAGAGGACAUUUUAAACAAGUGUUAAGAACGCUAGUUGUGUUGAUUUGACAAGUGUUCGAAGGUGAUUGACUAUCAGAUGAAAUCUAGGGGAAUACUCAAUUGAACAUUCCAGAAUUGAUGUAUCUCCACCAACCACGAAAGCUGGAAUAUAUUCGUUGGGUUUAAUUAUGUAACGAUUUUACAGAUAUUUAAUAAGCAUCCCCUAGAAGUAACCGCAACAAUCAGGCUACUGACUUGAUCUGGUUUCCUAGAAUUAGAGAGCAUUACAGAUUGAGCACAAAUAUAGAGAGACUAUGGAAGAAAAUCGGUACCAAUAAACAAUCUAGACUGUAUGGAAGAAAAUCGCUACCAAUAAACAAUCUAGAUUGUAUGGAAGAAAAUCACUAUUAAUAUCAUAAACAAUCUAGACUGUAUGGAAGAAAAUUGCUACCAAUAAACAAUCUAGACUGUAUGGAAGAAAAUCGUUACCAAUAAACAAUCUAGACUAUAUGGAAGAAAAUCGCUACCAAUAUCAUAAACAAUCUAGACUGUAUGGAAGAAAAUCGUUACCAAUAAACAACCUAGACUGUAUGGUAGGAAAUCGCUGCCAAUAAACAAUCUAGACUGUAAUGACAAUAAAUCUGGUUAUUUUCUGAAAUUAGAGAGGAUUGAAAACAACUGUAGACAUCCUGUUGCACUUGGUUGAUUUUCUGGGGCAAUUUGUAAGCUGGUUUUAAUUGUCCAUUAAUUAGUCAUUAAUCAAUUUCUUGCCCAAUCAGCACAAGCUAAUAUAUCUUGUGAUCUCACAAAAUGGCAGACCACCAUACGGAACUGGGUUUUUAUCCAUGGCUAGCCACCAUGUUGACUAGUCAUAAGGUAAGCGGUAGAAGUUCCUGAAACGUUGUCUGCAUAUUACUUUAUGUCCUUUCAUAUUUAACGGCUUUGCUGGUUGCCGAAUAAAAAAUCAUCCAUGUGCACCUGACUUUACACAGUUGUGUGAUACGUCAACACAAUUGUGUCCACCUUGAAUCAAGAAAAAUACUAUGUUGAACUAAUGCUGAUAAAUAAUUUCAGGGAAAGCUAAUAACUGUUUUAAACAGUCAAAUACUAAUACAAAAAUAUAUGAGUAAUUUUGAUGUUUGUUAACAUCUCAGAUUGCCUUUCUUGUGUGUAGUGUGGUUCUCCUUCACUUACAGUUUGUCCCAAAAUGAUCUAAUUUGUGUUGUGUGGACAUUAAACCCCAUUCCUCUCUCUCUCUCUCGCAGAAUCCCAGCUGCUCCAUUAUUACAUGUAAUCCACUUAUUAUAAUGGAGCAGCUGGGAUUCUGUGUGUAAGAGAGAGAGAGAGAGAGGGGUUUAAUAUCCACUCAGACACAAACUAGGUCAUUUUGGGACUAACAUAUGGUUAGCAGUGGGAGGAAACCAGAGGACCCGGAGAAAACCCACGAGGUUAGACAGGCGACCCAACUCCUUGUCAUGUACAAUCAGGGAAUGGGGUUUUAUGAUGAAAGACAAUUAAUUGAUCAUUAAUGGUUAAUAUUAAAGAUGCAUUACGUAAGAUUUAGAUAAACAGCUGGCUAUAAUAGUUUAAACGGGAGUUGGAUGGCCGAAUGGUUAGAGCGUGCACGUUGUAUCAUAAGGUCUGUCAUUGAGUCAAGUGGCAUGGUUUCGAUUUCCCAGUUGUACACGACAAAGAGUAGGAUUGCAUGUCCAACCACGUGGGUUUUCUCAGGGUCCUCCCACUGCUAAAGGCCCCUACAUGUACAUGUACGUGCAAGCGAAUUAUUGAAAUAAAAUUGAACCCUGUGUUAGUCCCAAAAUGACCUAGUUUGUGUCAAGUGGAUGUUCUCUCUCUCCCUCAGUUUAAAAUGAAAAUUUCAGUCAAAUUACUUCAUUUUGGGCCAAGUUUUGAGUGUUUGAAGUUUUGUCAAGAUUAGAAUAGUCUCACUUGUCAUUGCUUUGAUAAUAAAGAAGUCUCACUUUCCAUUUUAACAUUAACUGAUUAAAUGGCAC